rnacentral:rRNA from 1 species
UAGCAAUACGUGGCAUACGGCUCAGUAACACGUAGUCAACAUGCCCAGGGGACGUGGAUAACCUCGGGAAACUGAGGAUAAACCACGAUAGGUCAUAAUAUCUGGAAUGAUUUAUGGCUAAAAUCUACAUGGCCCCUGGAUUGGACUGCGGCCGAUCAGGCUGUUGGUGAGGUAAUGGCCCACCAAACCUAAAACCGGUACGGGCUCUGAGAGGAGAAGCCCGGAGAUGGGCACUGAGACAAGGGCCCAGGCCCUAUGGGGCGCAGCAGGCGCGAAAACUCUGCAAUAAGCGAAAGCUUGACAGGGUUAUUCUGAGUGAUUUCCGCUAAGGAAAUCUUUUGGCACCUCUAAAAAUGGUGCAGAAUAAGGGGUGGGCAAGCCUGGUGUCAGCCGCCGCGGUAAUACCAGCACCCCGAGUGGUCGGGACGAUUAUUGGGCCUAAAGCAUCCGUAGCCGGUUCUACAAGUCUUCCGUUAAAUCCAUCUGCUUAACAGAUGGGCUGCGGAGGAUACUAUGGAGCUAGGAGGCGGGAGAGGCAAGCGGUACUUAGUGGGUAGGGGUAAAAUCCGUUGAUCCACUGAAGACCACCAGUGGCGAAGGCGGCUUGCCAGAACGCGCUCGACGGUGAGGGAUGAAAGCUGGGGGAGCAAACCGGAUUAGAUACCCGGGUAGUCCCAGCUGUAAAC